AAACCCCGUCUCAGUUCGGAUUGGAGUCUGCAACUCGACUCCAUGAAGCUGGAUUCGCUAGUAAUCGCGGAUCAGCAUGCCGCGGUGAAUACGUUCCCAGGCCUUGUACACACCGCCCGUCACACCAUGAGAGCCGGGAACACCCGAAGUCCGUAGUCUAACCAUUAAGGAGGACGCGGCCGAAGGUGGGUUUGGUAAUUGGGGUGAAGUCGUAACAAGGUACC
rnacentral:rRNA from 1 species